rnacentral:lncRNA from 1 species
UUUUGUUGUGCUUCUCUUCCUUUGAAUUAUUUUAUUAAUUUUGUGUUAUAUGAAUACACUGUAGCUGUCUUCAGACACACCAGCAGGGGGCAUUGGAUCCCAUUACAGAUGGUUGUGAGUCAUCUCUCUAGCCCCUCCCUGGUUUGGUUUUCUUUGUGUAGCCCUGGCUAUACUUGGAGUCGCCUCUGCCUCCUGGGUGCUGGGGUCAAAGGUAUGUUCUUUUUGGCACUAAGACAAACCCAAAUAAUAGCAGGGAGAAGUAGCAAUUUAUUUCUGACAUUACACCCAUUACUCUCUGAGCCAUUACUGUCUACCAGAAAGUCGUCUACAGGACAGCUGGGCUCGGGGGCCCAGGUGCCUUCCCUCUUGUUGCUCAGUUAUUCAGAGGACGUGACCACUCAACCAUACUGUCACCUCAUGUCUUCAUUCUAACCGGCAGAAACCAGAAACUGUGGAAGGGGGAGACUCACCCCUCCCUUUUAAGGGUAGCCCUUGGAGCUGGGCAGUUGGUGGUGCACACUUUAAUCCCAGCACUUGGGAGGCAGAGCAGGCAGGUCUCUGUGAGUCAGGGCCAGGCUGAUCUACUGAGUGAGUCCCAGGACAUCCAGGGGAACACACAGAGAAACCGUGUGUGUGUGUGUGUGUGUGUGUGUGUGUGUGUGUGUGUGCGCGCGUGCGUGUAUGUGUUGGUGCACACGUGUACGUCAGAGGAUACGUUGGUGAAGUCAGUUUUCUCCUUCCACCUUUACACAGAUCCUGGAGAUUGAACCCAGGUCACUGGACCCAUGGAGCCAGCCUGAUGGCGCCUCAACAUUACUCUUUGAAACACUCUGAACUGCUUGCCUAGUGAUCUCCUGGGAUAUGUCUCUCUCCACCUCCUAGAGUUGGGAUGAUAGAUGUACCCCACUCUCCCCUUUUAAUGUGGGUGCCGGGAUCUGAAUUGAGGCUCUCAUGCUUGUAAAGCAAACACUUUUCUACUGAGCCACUGUGCAGGUCCCCUGAGACAGAAGAGAACUUGAUGAGACCCAGAACCCUGUCAGAGUCCAGUCUAAACCAAAGCACUGCUGCUGCUGUCUUCAAGACUGUCUUUGAGCCUCUGAGUCUCUGAGCCUCUGAGCUCACCUCACCUCUGGCUUGAUUCAUCUAUGCUACUCUCUUUCUUUCUCUUCCUUUCUCUUCCUUUCUUUUCUUUUCUUUUCUUUCUUUCCUUCCUUCCUUCUUUUCUCUUUCUUUCUUUCUUUCUUUCUUUCUUUCUUUCCUUCUUUCUUUCUUUCCUUCCUUCUUUCUUUUUU